rnacentral:lncRNA from 1 species
AGUCCCGGCAGUCGCGGGCGUGGGCUUGAGCGCGUGCCUUCUGCGCUCGUGUCUCCGCCGGUGCCCCUGGCUCCCACGUGUGCUCCCCUCCACCUGGACGGCGAGCGCCUGGUGCUGGGGAGUGGAGGGUCUGCGGCACAACCUCUCUUGCCUGGUGUCGGGGGUCGUGGGCGAGUUCAGUCCCACGCGGGUAAGCUCUCGGUCCCGGGGGCCCAGGGAACGCCAGGGCUCCCAGAGACGCCGCCUUGGGAGAGGGCGUGUGAGAGCCACAGGCGUCUGCUUAAAAACCUGGAGGCCGCACCUGCGGGGCAAAGUCUAACCCCUUGACUGGCAUCAGAGAGCCUUCACGAAUCCUCCUUUCCGCUCUGCGCUCAUCCUAAGCAUCCUCAGGCCGCUCCCAGAGUCGUGGUUCUCAAACUACUCUAGCGUGUGUUGGAGUCUCUUGGAGGUCUUGAUAAAACAGAUUUUUAGUGCCCCUCCUCCCUCCCCCAGAGUGUCUGCUUUGGUAGGUCGGUAGUGAGGCCUAAGCAUUAGAAUUUUCAGCAGGUUCCCAGGUGAUGCUGAUGCCUUUGCUCUGGGACCAAACUUGGAGAACCAGUAGACCUCGACACAUGCUGCUCCCUCUGCCAAGUCCCCACCCCCUACACCAUCAGUGGCAUCCUCCCUGUGCGUCCCCAGCACUGUGCAGUGAGCACCAAUCAUACAUCCGGUCGUGACUGCUCUGGGAUCUCGCCCUGCCUUGGACACCCAGCAAUGCUCAAGAAAUGUUGCGGAAAGCAAGCAGGGGAGGCCCAGAUUCCCGUCUAACCAGCUGUCCCUAACAUUUGUUUGAGAACCCGGCGUGUUCAAUGAGCACCGCAUUGGACAAGGUCUAAGCACCUGCGGCCUUCCCUAAGCCUGGCAGGCCCAUGGAGAGAGGGAAGGCGAGAAGAGCAAAACAGUGGCCACCAAAGCAAGGUGAAUCCCCAGCUGGGGAAGCCAGGCACUGGGAGGAGGAAGUCAUAAAAAUAGCAAACACAAGUUAGAAGGUUUAAAGGGAAGACGUUAGGAACCACUACAGAGAGGUCUGGAAAGAGAAGUGGCUUACAAAAAAAAAAGUUUGAAAAGUUAGAAGGCCAUGAUGGAGGGGUUUGGAAGUUGCCACAAGGUUGGGUUGAUGAGAGAAUUCUAAACUGAUGUGUACAGGAUACACAAGCAUUUGAUGGUACAUAAAUAACCUCCUUUAAUCGUCUUCUGCGCUUUAGCAUUUGUAAUCAUUCUGUUCCUCCGCGUUUGUUAAAUGGGAGAAUUGUAAACUAUGUUUCCGACGACAGUUUGGCUACUUAAGAGAGCCUACACUUCAAUGAUUUUGGAAAACAUCAGUUGACAUCCCGGCAAUUGAUAUGUUAAUUAAAUAUUGAUCUUGUGUGCUCAUUAAAUCAGAUCCUCUAGGGAC